UACGUAGGGUGCGAGCGUUAAUCGGAAUUACUGGGCGUAAAGCGUGCGUAGGCGGUUCGCUGUGUCCGAUGUGAAAGCCCCGGGCUUAACCUGGGAAUGGCAUUGGAAACUGGCGGGCUUGAGUGCGGCAGAGGGGGGUGGAAUUCCGCGUGUAGCAGUGAAAUGCGUAGAGAUGCGGAGGAACACCGAUGGCGAAGGCGGUUCUCUGGGCCUGACCUGACGCUGAGGAGCGAAAGCGUGGGGAGCGAACAGG
rnacentral:rRNA from 1 species